rnacentral:rRNA from 1 species
GACAGAGGAGCCAAGCGUUGUCCGGAUUGACUGGGCGUAAAGCGCACGCAGGCGGUCGUGCACGUGGGGUGUGAAAACUGGCGGCUUAACUGCCAGAGGCCACCUCAUACGGCGCGACUCGAGCCCUGCAGAGGUCCAUGGAAUUGCCGGUGUAGUGGUGAAAUGCGUAGAGAUCGGCAGGGAACACCCAGGGGGAAACCAGUGGACUGGGCAGGACGCUGACGCU